UUAUUAAAUUAAUUAUGAUAAAGUAAAAGGUCCUAAAAUUACAAAAAGAAAAUAAAUGAUUGUUUGUUACAUUCCCCAAAUAGGGGAAACCCAAGACUUUACAUAGUAAUAAUCUAAUAGAAAUACAGAUUGUAUAAAGUACUCUAGGGGGUGGGGUGGAAGAAUCUAGAUAAAGGUGGUAUCAUCACCAAGGCUUGAGGUGUUGGACUCCUUACUCCUUCAUUCCACUAAGAAAAGAGAACUCCUCCACAUCUUCUUUCUUCAACUUUGGGAGCUUCUCAUUACUGCACACUUAAACAUGACCUCCCCGGUCUUCUAUAUCCUAGCUAGCAUAAGAUCUUGAGAGUUAUAUCUUUUUCUCCAUAUCUAGCUUUAUUCGGACCUUUACAUAGGCCCAAGUCAAGGAUGGUAGAGACGUGAAGAUCAAAGGAGCCAAACUUUGGAGAGGCAAGUGGGCUUACUCCAAGUAGCUCUGUACUGUAGCCAGGUUUGCCUUUAAGUGCCCAAGAGAUGCAGCGGUCCACAUGGUAGGGUUAUUGGUCUCCUUACCUUUUUGGCUCUGCUUCUCUCACCUUCUACCCCUGUAUUUCUCUUUUUCUUGCUCUUUUCCUUUGAACCCUUCAUCUUUAGUGGGUUAAAGGACACAUCACACUCCUUCAAAGAGUCACCAUCCUCCUUUGGCAUAUCUACCCUCUUACAUAUCUUGGUGAUUAGAAAGGCAAGAGGUAAUAUUUUUAAGUCCCUUCCCUUAUGUAGAAAUGUUGCCACUUAUUGAUUAUCUGCAUCCCCAUAUUCAACACUAUCAUCGAUAGAGCAUAGGUCAAUAAUAUAACUAGUGAAAGGUCACUUUCAUGACAUUUCCUAAAGGAUAAAUCCUUUGGGAUGCCAAUUUUAAUCAUCUUUGACCCUCUAUUAUGAAAUGGGUACUUUUGGUUCCUUUGACACUUGUCCAUUUUACCUUGUUCUCCUGUCCUACCGACACCAAGGUCCUUUCUAGCUGUUUCAAGUUAGCCUUAUCCAUCUUUGCCUCAAAAGCUAUAGUAGGGGGGUUUGUCACCCUAAGGUAUCAUUGAUGGUGGAAGCAUUCAUUAAAAUAUUCCUCCCUCAGGUUCAGAUGAUAUGCUGGGGCGAGGACCAGUCUACUAUUGGGAGUAUGACAUAGAACUACUUGACUAUCUCUAGAUUGUACGAACGAUGGUCUCCAUAAACAACACCUAUUCAAAUGACCUCAACUGGUUGUAAAGUUUGGCAUUUCUUCAGUCAAGUCUUUUAUCAUGAAUUCUCUCUCAUGGAUGAAGCCCCUAUUACUUAACCCCUUCUUAUAACAACCACGUUAAUUAGUGUUUAAAACUCAUCAGUGUGUGGGUUGGUUGGCGAUGUUAGCAAUCCUUCACAAAAUACAUCAUAGAAAUUAGAAACCAACUUGGGAUUCUACAAAAAGGUAAGGAAUCAAAAAAUAGGAUAGAUAAAUUUCUAAGAGGCUACUACCUCACUGUUGCUGCAGUAAUGCCUUCUUCCCCAACUAAUUCUAAACCCUCCAUGAUAGAUAUUUAAAUUGUUUUUGUUAAAUUUCAAGUUUUAGGCAUAGAUCAAGCUUGAUAGAGUACUUUUGAACUCUUUUUCACUAAAUUGGGAGUGAUUAACAACCAAUACAAGCCCCAAUUGACUGAAAAUCCUUAAAGAGGAUGCCUCUUCAUCUUCAAUCCUAGUCAAGCCCCCAAAACCCCAUGAACAUUGUGAAUCUUACUUCUAGAAUGUUGUGGAGCAUUAAAAAUGUAUGAUAUUCUAGCAUGCUUCAUAAAUUCAUUCAAAAAAGAAACUAAAUUCAAACUUCAAGUUGCACUAAAAGACAAUUCGAAAAUCAACCUCUUCCCCUAAUUUCUACAAUUAUACGAUGUUAAACUCAUAAAUAAAGUAGUAAAAACAAAGUUUUACGUUAGUAGCAUCGCUGGAAAGAAUAUUACUUGAGGGAAUUAAGAGUGUUUUUUUAGAGAAUUUGAGAGUUGGGAAGUGGGGGAAAUGAAACCCACUUACCUAUAGUUGAAACUGUUGAGACACGCAAGGGCUACAAAUGUACUACUACAGUGAAAGGCUUCAUAAAAUAUUAUUUCAUCUUGAUUUUUUAUGCGUUACAAUAUUUUAUGAUGUUAUGGGUAUUUUAAAUGACCGGUUGUAUAAAAUUUUAUUAUGAAUCAUAUUUUUUGGGUCAUAGUGAUUGACUCGUGUUAGAAGCUUAGAGACUCAAAUGCAUAGACUGGAUGGGUAAUGGAGGUUUGGGAAAGUGUUAUCAAGUAACUAAUAGGGAUAAUAGAUCAUAAUUUCUAACCAUCAUGUAUGUUGGAAUUCCAGAGUCAUGCUAAAAACUUCCUUUCCUCCUUUCGUAACUAUCUACGGUUGAACAAUUGGUAAAUCGAUAUCUAAUGUAAUGAAUCAAAUAACCGUUAUAUUAAAUAUUCAUUCCAAAAAAACUUCGAUUAAGAAAUCUUUAUUUCAAACUUUAUAGAAAUUAAUUUCAUUAGAAAAAUCCAUGGCCCAAAUUAAAUUUGGGCCAAAUUUACAAAAUUUGGCCAGGCCCAUUGACCAGAGGUAUUUCUAUUUCUAUAACGAUGGCGAGGCAAUAAGUUUCCAUAGGGUUAAUCAAAAACCCUCUCCUAGCAAAUGUCUCUUAUUUUUUUUCCUCUCUGAAAAACACCCUAAGUGAACCAUAUACGUGGAACUGUAGGAUUUUAAAGGCCAAGUUCUAACAGGGUGAUUUCCAAAUCAAGUGGUAUUUACAGUGUUGUUAAGGUACAAGGCAUACAAAGGAUUACCCUUUACUCUUUGUAGCAACAAAACUAAUCUACAAGGUAGUUAUGGUUGAAUUGUAGUAGACUUUGGCUAAAUGCAUAUCGUAACGAUAGUUAUAUUGGAAGAUUUCAUGUUCAGGCCUUUUAGGCACGAACUUUAAAUGAUUUUGAUAACAAACUAAACUUAGAAUAAUGAAUUUAUGAUUCAAUAUGUUGUAAUUAUUUUGCCCCUUUUCGAUUCGAAAGAUUUUGAAAGCAUUAUUUUCGACCUUUUAAACUAUUUCAAAAAUUUAAAGAAAAUUUUAAAAUAAUUUAGGAAAUUACAGAGUCGCCACUUGAUUUUUGAGAAAAUAUGAAGAAAAACUAAAACUAUUACUUAAAAGAUUCAAAAUAGAAAAAAUCUUUCAAGUUUAGAAAUUCCGAGUAAGUGGUUCCUAUAAAUACUCUUGGAAGGUUGUUAAGGCACCAAGAGUAUCCGCUAACUUAUGAUUAUCCAGACUAUUUGAAAAUAACUUUUUUGACUAACUUUAGAAAGUGAAAUUGAUUUUUUAAAGAGAAAACAAUUAAGGAAAAAUUGUCUUCAAGAUUUGUGCAAAACAAAUUUUGACGACUUAGCGGGAAUUUUUAACUAAGUCUAAGAAAACAAAGAACAAUUAGAAUAUUACGGGGAAAGGGGGAGACUAAAUGACUUAAUACAUUAGGCCCAAACUCAUAAAUCCUAUCCUAAGCUAAUUUGGACUUUUGACCCAUCUUCACCUGUCCUAAGCUAGUUUUCGAACCUUUGAGGCCCAAAAUCCGCUUCACCUGUAUUAAAUUACAUCUUUGGCUUCGAGGCCCAAAUGAAUGAAUAAAUAAAUGAAUAAAUAUAAAUAAGGCAAUAGUAAAAAUUGAGACUUUUAAAGUCUUUUAGUAACCUCAUCAAUGGGUUUUGACCCAUUUUCCUUCUUUCAUCUUCUUGCAGCCGCAUGCCAUAUAAUCGACUUUGAAUUUAAACUUUAGACCUAACUCGGAGAGGUGAGCCUCGUUAGCCCAUUACAAAAUGCAAGAGGAAAGGAGUUCAUUUGGACUCCAAAACAGAUCCAUGCAAAGAAAUAUUAAACUAGAUAAACGAUGAGAUGAAUGAGAUAACAUUCCCAAGUAUAAAGAAAUAUUAAACUAUGAUAUCAAAGCAAACCAAAUUAUGUUAUGAAAAAGAAAUUGACCCGUGUCUCAAAUAAUCUUAUAGAAAUUGAAGCCAACACAAUAUAAUCAACUAGCCCUUGAAAAGAAAGACAUGGAUCCACGAGCAUAAUUGCUUAAAAUUUAGACAAAUAUCUCUUAUAGAUUAACACAUAUUUACAACAAAUAUUAUGAUAUAGCCUAAGGCAUGUUUUCAUUAAAAAAAAAAAUAGGAGAAUGAGCAAGAGAUGAGGAAAUCUUUCAUAGCACCUCAAAUAUGAAAUACAAGACGUACUAAUGCAACAACACUUUUUCAAUACAAAAUGGAGUCAAUCAACAUAUUUAUAACUUAGAAGAAAAAUUCAGUAUAGCAUGUGUAUAACAAUGAGACGUCUAAAUGAAUAAAAAUACUUUAAGACAUAAACCAAUAAGUGAAGUGAAGCAAAUAACAUAUAUUAAGCAUAUUUGAGAAAUGAUAUUCGAAGACAAGAUAGGAAAAAUAGCACAAAAUUAAUUCUAAGAAAAAGUGUCUAAUUAUGCCAACUCCUAUUUUAGUUCUAUACCAUUUCAACAAAAUCUAUAAUCCUAACAACUUUUCAAUCUAAACAAGAGAAAAUCAAAGACAGUUUUGACCACAAAAAUGAGAAACUCACUACUUCAAAUUGAGAAACAAUUUCACAGACCCUUAACAAUAGCAACCAUUCCUUUUCGACAUAAAGGAAACAACUUCACACACUAAAAGCAAAAUAUCCACCCAUAACGAAUUUAAACAAAGAAUUAGCAUGCAUUUUAUGCAAAGAUCAAAACUUUAUCCAUAAUAACCAGAGAAUAAAGCCAAAAGGUGAAACAAUCAAUAUUAACUAUUCUUUUCAACAUAAAGAAAACAACUUUACAUGCUAAAAACAAACAUAUCCAACAAUAAUUAAUUUAAACAAAACAUGAGUACACAUUUUAAACAAAGAUUAAAACUUUAUUCAUAACAAUCAAAGAAUAAAGCCAAAAGGCGAAACAAUCAAAAUUAAUUAUUCUUUUCAACAUAAAGGAAACAACUUUACAUGCAAAAAAUAAACAUAUCCAUCAACAAUGAAUUUAAACCAAGCAAGAGUACAUAUUUUAAACAAAUAUUAAAACUUUAUCCAUAACAAUCAAAGAAUAAAGCCAAAAGGCAAAACAAUCAAUAUUAACUAUUCUUUUCAACAUAAAGAAAACAACUUAACAUUUUAAAAAUAAACAGAUCCGCGAACAAUGAAUUUUAACAAAGCAUGAGUACAUAUUUUAAACAAAGAUCAAAACUUUAUCCAUAACAAUUAAAGAAUAAAGUCAAAAGGCGAAACAAUCAAUAUUAACUAUUGUUAGCUCAUCUUAUCCCACAAAUAUGAAAAUAACCAUAAUAUUGAUAUCACAACUUCCUACAGGCUUCAAGGCCGUCUACAGCAAACAGUCCCAGCAAAUAAAAUUAUACGAAACUACAAAGAAGGAGAUGAAGAAGAAAACUAUAACAGAACUAAAAGAAAAAUGUGUGUUUACCUUUUUUGGAGCAGAAAAUGGGAAUUAAAGAUUUUUUCGGUGUCUUGAUCAUCAUCGGAGAACAAUCUUUCUAGAGCCUCGAUUAGACUACUGCUUGAAAUAUUUUUACUAAAAGAAAAAUUUAGCUUUUUGCUCAAAAGUUUUUCCACUCUUUGAGACUUGGUCUUUUUACCAAAAUAGUGGUAGUAUUUAUAAGAAAGGAUGGGGAUUCAAUUCUUUUCAUCCACCAAUGUGGUAGAAAGAAUUUAGGAGUAUUUUGGGAAUUUAAAUUUGAGGAAAAGGUUAGUUGGAGGAUAAGGUGAGGUAGAAUUAUACAAUCUAGUACAAAUUCAAAAUUCAAAAUUUGAAUUUCAAAAAUAAAAAUAGAAUAAGGUUGAAGGGGAAUUGUACAAUCUAGUAUAAAUUUUGAUUUUUAAAAUGGAAAAAAGGACAAGGUUAAGGGAAAAUUGUACAAUCAAGUACAAAUUUUGAAUUUCAAAAAUGAGAAAAGACAAGGUUGAGGUGGAAUUGUACCAUCUACUACAAAUUUUGAAUUUCAAAAAUUUGAAUUUUUAGUGUUUUUGAAUUUUUGGUUUGGGUUGAUUGGUUGCAGGUUGGACGCGGAUUCGGGUCAUGAGUGUCAGUCGAAUUUCGGGUUUUGCUGGGGAUUGGGUCGCUGGGUAGAAUUUAGGAUUUGGGGUUAUUUUAAAAAUAACCCCAAUCAAUUUAGGAUUUAGUCAAUUCCUUAAAUAUUUGGCCAAAUUAAAAAUCAAUAGGCCAAUUGCAUCAUAAUUAUGGUCAAUUUAAUUUCAAUUAUGUCCAAAUUUAAUAGAUCAGCUAAAUUAAAUUGAAAUUCGAUACGAAUUAAUACCUCAUUUAAUCAUGAGCUUCUUGAUUUAGUAAAAUCAAACAAAUAUUUUCCAAAUAAAUUAAUUUGAGAACAAAUUAUAUUUAAAUCAAGACUAUAUUCCGUUUGGAGUAAUUUUCAAGUUAAUCUUAGUAAAAGUUCAAUUUUGAUAAAUAUAGUCAUUUAAGUAACAAAAUUUAUACAGUCUCGUAUAAUUGUCACUUAAAAUACAAAAUUAACCCAACUAAAUAUUUUAGAGCGCAUUUAUUCGAAUGAAAUAAAUAUUUUAAUUUUAUGAAAAAUUGAAGAAAUCCAGGAUUAAAUUUAGUCGUGGAGGAUAAAAAUUGGGUGUCAACAACUGCCCCCUCCCUUUGGGUAAGGUGGAUGAAAGUAACCUGGGCAAAGGAAGUUUGACAUUCCUAACUUUUGUUCUACCACAAAUUUAUUUUUGAAAGAGAUUGAUUUUUGCACGAGUUUCAUGGAGUUAUAGCUUGAACCCGGUGCCAAGUUUCUUACAUAUCUCAGGCUACAUGAGAAUUCAGGCCACUUGUAGUUCAUAACGCUUAAUUUAAAGUACGAUUUUCAAAGAAUUCAUAAGCUAUUUCAGUUUAUAAAUUUUGGUGAAACCAAAAAGCUAGGAAUAAGAGGAUUGUGUGGGGGGGGGAGGUUGAAAUAUAGUCAAGUUUUCAACAUAGAGCCCAACCUAUUUAUCCUCGAGACUCAGGGAAUCAGAUUGCUUGUAGUUGGACUCAAUCGACAUAAAAGAUACUUUUAUUUUAGACGAUCUUUGGCUCGGGAUGAGUGACAAGUCAUUUGAGUUAUGAAAAAAGGCUUGUAACCUCCUAACCAUGAAUAUGGAGCUCUUCACAUCCAUAGGUAAAAAUCUACCCCGACAUAAUUUCCAAAACUUUAAGUACGUUGUCACUCGAAUUUCAAGGAAAGAGAAGGUUUCCCUCGGUAUGAGUUUAGAAAUAUUUCAAAGGUGAAGCUGAAACCAGAAUAUCCCAAAGUACCCACAUGCCUUCUAAUAGGGGUGUGGUUUGAAUAUGGUGGCAAUCAUCCCUUAGCUCACGUCCAAAGACUUUGAUGUCCAUCUCUAAACUACGUCCUGUUUUGCUGCUAAGAAAUUUUUUUACGCUGCAUCCUUUUUGUAGUCGUCCUUACCUAUGGUUUUGAUUUGAGAAUUUUAUCCUUUUGGAUGCUCUUGACAACAACUCAAACAAAUAAUUAGUUGUAAACAUCGCAUUACAUAAAUGUAAAUUAGCACAACCUGUUUGAACAUGCUAUGCUGAGAUAGUUGAUAAACCAGUUUGCAGAACAUAUUAUAAAAAAUACUAUGCCAAUUUGAAUGGGGUGAAAACCCAACAUGUACCAUUAAAAGGCAAAUGAUUUACCUUGAAUAUAACAUGCCACUUUGAACGGAGUGACGGUCCAACGUGUCUCAUUAAAGACAAAUGAUCCAUUUUGAAUGUAACAUGCCACUUUGAAUUGAGUGAUGGUCCAACGUGUCUCACUGAAGGGCAGACGACCCAAUUUAAAUGUAACACACCACUUUGAACAGUGUGACGGUCCAACGUGUCUCAUUAAAAGGUGGACGACCCAAUUUAAAUGUAACAUGCCACUUUGAAUGGAGUGAUGGUCCAACUGUCUCAUUGAAGGGCGGACGACCCAAUUUAAAUGUAACAUGGCACUUUGAACGGAGUGACGGUCCAACAUGUCUCAUUAAAGGGCGGAUGACCUAAUUUAAAUAUAAUGUGCCACUUUGAAUGGAGUGAUGGUUCAAUGUGUCUCAUCGAAGGACAGACGAUCCAAUUUAAAUGUAACGUGCCACUUUGAAUGGAGUGACGAUCCAACGUGUCUAUUAAUCACCUGUACUAAACUUAUUACUAUCAAAUGCAACAUAAGGGCAAUCGUGCAUACCAUUUUUUUGUAUGCCACACUGAAAGGAGGUGAAAAUUCAUAAUGUAGUAUUAUACUAUGUUGAAGGAGAUGCCAAUCCAUAUAAUAACAUGUCACUAUAAAUAAAGUGACAGUCUAAUAACAUAAUAACAUGUCACUCCGAAGGAGGUGACGAUCCAUAACAUAAUAAUAUGUCACUCUGAAGGAGGUGACGUUUCAUAACAUAAUAAUAUAUCACUCUAAAGGAUGUGACGUUCCAUAAUAAUAUGUCACUCAGAAAGAGAUGACGGUCCAUAACAAUAUAUCACUCUGAAGGAGGUGACAGUCCAUAACAUAAUAACACAUCACGCUAAAGAAGGUGGACAAUCCAUAACAUGAUAACAUGUCACACUGAAGAGGUAACGGUCCAUAACUUAAUAAGAUGUCAUGCUGAAAGAGGUGAUGACCCAUAACAUAAUGAUAUGUCAUACUGUUGUCUUAAAUAAAGAGAUGAUCUGAUGUACCUUCUUAAAGGGUGGAAAAUCCAAAUGUAAUAAGAUGCGUCCUUUUUAAAGGGGUGUGUCCCAAAUAUAAAUAGAUGUGUCACCUCAAAUAAAGUGACAAUUGGGAAUGUCCUCUUGAAAUGGUGGAUGACCCAAAAUAUGAUAAGUUAGGGUGACAAUCCGUUGCAUUCUCUUGAAAAGGUAGAUAACCCAAAUAUAAUAAGAUACAUUACCUCGAAUGGGGUGAAAAUCCGAUGUGGUCUUACAUAACGUCACCUGUAUAACUCAAACAACACUUAUUAAUAACAUAACAAUUUGUUAUAACUAAGCCAGGAAUGUAACAGAAAAUAGAGUUUACAAAUAAAGUCGUUUGACUCAUGAUGAUUUAGAGAUAGUAUUUUGAAUAAUAUCUCCAUAUCUCAACCGUUGUACAAGAUUAUUUUCCUAUAAAUUAGAGAAAUAUUUAAAGAUCGUAACAAAGUAUAGAAACAUAAAAUCAAGAGAAAAAAGGAGAAGAGAAGUUGUAUAGAUUAUUAUGGCAAGGCUAUAGUGGAUCUGGUAAUGCCCUUUAUUAAGCUUAACAUUGUCAAUGUUGUGACUUCAUUGUUCCUGCAUCCAAAAAAAUUCUUAAUUUUGAGAGGCUGACUAUUUUAGUUUUUCCUUGCUUUCCUGAUGCUCCUUGUUGAUCAUCGAUUCGCAGAGUUGAAGUGCAGUCUUUAAGGAAUUUUGGAGGAUCUCCCUCAAAAAUUCUGCCCCACUUUAGAAACUCUCAAACUUCUUAAUAACUUAUGACAUCAUUUAGUAUAGAAUUUUUGAGAUCUUCUCAAAAAUUUUGCCCAAGUCUAGAAUGCAAAAUACUUGAGUCCUUUUUGGAGUAGCAUAACCUGAAAUAUUACAACUUCUCAAAUUACGCACCGAUUCAGCUUCAGCAAUGCCUGAUGUUUAACUUUGUAGUAAAUUUCAAGUUCUUGUGAAAUUUUUUAAGACCUUCUCAAAAAUUUCUGCCCCAGUUACAUGCUUCUGUGUCAUCUCCAUGUAACUUAAAAAAAUCCUCUUAAAUAAAAUCUUAUGGAUAAUAUGAUCGAGCUAGUGUGGUGAUUACAUAUUCCAUUGAGGUAGGAAUCAUACCAAACAUAAUUCCACCAUAAGAUGGAAAAAUAAAUUUUCUAAGGGAUUGACCGAAGCCGACAUAGGCCGCCUACGUAGAGUCUUAUUGAUAGUGGAGGGAGAAGUUGGUCGCACAGGAUAGUUAUGGUGUGUUGAGGGAAAUAGAGAGAUAUAGUGUAUGAAACUGGAGUUAAUCUCUCAUAUUAGGGUGGAUAUCGAUGUAAUAGCGAGGAGUGAAGGGAGGAAAAAUAGAUUUAUUUCAUUCAUAAUUAGAGGUGUCAGUCGGGAUAAGUGUAGCCUUGAAUACUUAAGUAUGUAGGAGUGGUCGGAGAGUGGUGUGGACUUGAUUUGACUUUCUGCUUAUAUAUAUAAGUUGAUUAUUAUGAUUAUCCUUCGGGCACUUCCUGAGACUAUUAAUUAUCAUCAUUUAUUGAGCAUUGGAUCUAAGAAUAUAUAUAUUAAGAUAAUGUCGGAAUCGAGUGUGUCACACUAAUACUAUUAUAUGGAUCAUGUGUCAUACUGACAUUGUUGUUUGAUCAACUACCACACUGAUAUUAGUACAUUAACUAAGCUCAUUCCCUAAAAGGCAUAAUUAAGGGUCCCUACUGAUCCUAAUAUGUGGGUAUACCUAGCAUGCAUGUAUUUAUCAUUAUAUUUGAACAUGCAUUAUUGUGAUUAUUGUGAAUUAACUAGAUUGAGCGUAAGCAAUGGAAAAUAUAUCUGGAUGCAAGGUAUGUAUUGUCCUUGUGUGUGGACCUUGUUUUCUAUAUGCAUGAUAUAUUCAUAUAUAUAUAUAUAUAUGAGCCAUUCGGUGAUACUGUCCACUUUGUGUUUUACUCGAGAGAGCAAGGAUAGUUUCCUUGUUAGUUGAUACUUAGGUAGGGAUUAGAGGGUCAUAGUCGUAUUGAAUGUAGGGGUGUCAGUACUGAUAAAGAAAGAGAAAGGACAGAGUUGAAAACAUAGCUAAAGGACUUGGUAGGGUAAAGUUGUUUGGGAAAAUUAUGUGUUGUCAUGAUUCCUCCCUAAUUUCUAUUGUUAUUAUUUGUUUCUAACCUUGGUCGAUCGAAUACCUACUAAUACGUGUGGUUAUACUGAUACCAUACUUACUAUAUCUCCAUUUGUAGAUAUCACCAUGUUGCAGGCCAGUUGGAGUUUCUAUAGGUACAAUGAUGAUUACUCUUCAAUAGUUCAUGUCAUCCUACUCUUACAUGAAUUUCAUAUCUCGGCUCAUUAUUCUAUUUAAUAAAUACAUCUCGAACAAGAGUUCUAUUUAUUUAUGAAAUCAUUCUUAUUUUGAAACAGUUUAACCUAUCUUCUGCAUUAAUUGAAUGGUUAGGUGGUAAAAGUUCUCCUAUCUAGGUAAUGUUGGGCAGGUACCCACAUGAUCCACAAAUUGGAUCCUGAAAAUUCCAUUCUGAAAGUUUUUCUAAACUCUAUAACCUUUUAGCUAACACAACAUUAAUUUAAAUCAAUGCAACACCAUCUUAUCAAAUUCCAAAUUUACAUAAACUAGACCACACUUGAAUUUCAUCCAACACUAGUCUCGCCUGAAAUUUUAAACACUUCAUCUGACGUGAAAGAUAACAUAAAUUUUUUCAUAAUAAGCUAUAACAUAAUAACAAAAAGGAUCAUUACAUAUGUAUUAGGUAUUUGCAUUUUGUUUUCAUUGCAAUAUAAAAAUGCAAGUGCAAUUGCAAACUAUAAUGAUUCUUUGAUAUAUAUUAUAAUGAUUUGAUUUGUGAAAUCUUGCUUUUUAAGUAUUUUGACCAUUUUUAUAUUCCUUAUAGUUGAUACAUGUUGAUUUUGGAAUGUGGGGAAGGUGUGCAUGAUCCCCAAUGCAAUCGAAAUGAUUUUUAUGAGUGUGUGGUUUUUAGAGGCUUUAAACCAUAUAGUUGACUUUGAGAAAAAAUUGUUAUUCUGAGUGUUGAAUGAUGAUUUGAACAGUUUCAUUAGAUCCAUAAUGUUGAAUAUGGGAUAGUGUCAUGGUUGGUUCAGGUUCGAAACCUUUAUUUUACAUUACACUCUUUAUUUAGAAAAUAGUGGGGUCCCAAGGAUUAAUUUAUUAGAAACAUUUUGUUUUCAAAAAUUCGAUAUUGCCAUGGAGUCUAAAAUAUCAAAAAUAGUCCGGUAGCAUAUAUGAUUUAUUUUUGUCAUGUUCCAAAUGAAGCUUGAGGGUCCAUUCGGAGCAUGCAAAUCAGCUGAUGCACAGCUGAUAUCUGGUGCAACAAACCUUCUUCGCGAAUGUGGGCAUUUGUCUACAAACACAGAGAAGUAAAUGAUCCUUAGUCACGAAUGCAACGUGGUUUGUCAUGUUCGUGAAAGGUAAGCAGGUCCAGAUCGAGUAUUUUUCCUUCUCACGAAUCUCACAAGGCUAUCGCAAAUGCGAAGGACUGCCUCAUCAUUCCUUGCAAAUGUAAAGCCAUGAAUACAAAGUCCAAAAAUUUGGCAGAUCAAAGUUAACCCUUGCAAACACGAAGGGUUGACCAUGUUUUCAAGGCAUUGUUUAAAGAACACUAUGUUAGCCUUAUUUUCGUGAUUUUACUCCAUUUUUGAACCUCUAAGGUUUGAGAAAGGCAUUUUUGAUAGUUUCUUCAUUGUAUUUUGUGAGGGUAACCUCCUAAAUUAUAUUUUAAUUAUUUUCAAUUUAUUACAUCUUUGAAAACACAUUUUAAUCAUAAUUUUAAUAUGAGAUUUUGAGGUUUAUACCGGUAAAGCUUAAAAUACUUUUUCUUUGAUUUGUACUUUUUUUAACCCAUUCUUUUAUGGGUUUUCAACUAUAGACUCCUAUAAUAUUGGAAAACAUAUUUCUAAAAUAAAAUUUCAGUUUUAACCCUUUUAUUUUUUGAACUCAUUUUUCAAACCCGUUUUGGAUCCGACUCAAAUAUGGGCAAUAUGAGAAUAUUUAGCUCUGUUUUAAUGAGUAAAUGAAAUAUUUGAAUAUUGUCGUAGAUUCUAAGGCCGUCCAUAAUGGAAAAUAUCCAUGUUGAGGCACUUUAGGCUUGGAUUUCAUCAUUUUAAAGUAGGUUAUGACUUAAAUUCUUUUAGAUUGAGCUACGUAGUUGAUAAAUAAGUAAAACAUGCUAUGGGUUAGGGUAUUUAGUAUGCAAUUAUUAUUAUUAUUAUUGUCUUCUUAUGUGGGGAGUUUUAAUACGUUGUUGUUGACUUGUAAUAUAUGAUAUUGUGUAUUACCUAUGUGGAAGCUUUAUUUGACAUCAUUGGCCUUAUCUGUGCAUAAAAAAUGUCUUUAGUGUAGAUAUAAUGCUUGUACGGGGUCUUGAAUAGUUACUUUAGUCUUUCUAAGCAUUGAUUACCUUAUCAUGAUAAAAAUGCCUAAAUGAUUACAUGCAUAUUUAUUUCAAUGGUGCCCAAUUAGAGUUGAUAACCAUGGAUUAUGGAUAUAUGGAGUUGAUUUCUGGUCUCACUUAUAUAUGUGUUGGAUGGAUCGUAUAUCUUCAUAUUGAGUUAAUGUUGAGCAUUAAACAUCCCCAUUUCAUACAUAUAUAUUCAUGAGAUACGGUACCAUUAAGGAAUACUAUUUUUGAAAGAAAAUAAGACUUUUCUUAUAAAAACCCUCUCCGUGAAGUUGAGCCAAAGAGAUGGGUUAAGAUUUAAGAUAUGAGAUAUAGUAUAUAGGUUGUAAACCCCCCAUAGGUCCUAUCUUGGGAGUUGUGAUAUAGGUAGGUAUAUAUCAAAGCGUCAUGUGAUGGCUUUUAUCAUUUAUCCCAUUCUCAUUGCAUUGCAUGUGCAUCUUACAUGACGUUUCUUAGUUACUCUUGACUUGUGUUUAGUUUUAGUAUAUUUGUAGUGUAUAUAUGUACUAUUUUUAUUUUUUACAUAUAUUAGAACUUUUAGUGAAGAUGGUAUGAGCUACCGUUUAAACUUUUCUGCUUGCAGGUAACAUGCUCAUAGUUUUCUUCACUUAUAUUAUUUUCUGCUUUGGUUAGUUUUCCUAUGAUACCUACUGAGUACAAGUGAUUUGUACUCAUCUUUAUUGUGCCCUUUUAGUGUAGAUCCUAGUUUGAGCACCAUGUGUGGUUGUUCAUUUGCACGGAGAUUCAGAAUUUUGAGGUACUAAUUAGCUCUAGAGUUUUGGCUGAUUCGAACCUCAUAUAUCCUUACUCUUUUUUAUUUAUAAUUCAGAGACAGAUUUAUAUUUUUAGUUUAUUGAUAUAUGUACUAGAUGCUCUUGUACUGUGUUGUUAGGUUUUAGUACAGAUGGCAUUUCUUUUAGACAUUUGUUAUUAUUGUACUUGUAUUAAUCUGAAUUUAUUCUAGAAGUCUCGAAUUGGUUUAUAUUAUUAUUGAUUUUGGUUUAUCCUUCAUCGGAUUGGGUAUUUGCUUACUUAUCAAGGCCGAGUUGCGAUUAGUGCCAUCAUGAUUAUUUUUGGGUCUUGAUAAAUUAUUAUCAGAGUAGCCUUUUUCAUCAGUCGUAUAUGUUUAAUAGUAAAAUGUCUAGUAUAUUCUCACGGAUCGGUACGCAAACAUCAAUAUCUAUCUUCAAGAGGCUAUAAGAUAUCUUUAUGAAAAAUUUCUCUAAUUUAAUUUCUUAUCAUACAGGUUAUUCAUGUCCAAUGUUCUAAAAUUUUAUUCUAUUCUUUCUGCGUAGAUGGUAAGGACUAAGUCCAGUAGGCUAGAGAUGCUAAGCCUACACCAUAGACAGGAAUCCCAUUUCGAGGAUGAAGCAGGGUCAUGUUUGACCCAGAGAUAGAGGG
rnacentral:lncRNA from 1 species